GCUAUAAUGAUUCACAACACAGGUAUGUUAGGGCUAUAAUGAUUCACAACACAGGUAUGUUAGGGCUAUAAUGAUUCACAACACAGGUAUGUUAGGGCUAUAAUGAUCCACAACACAGGUAUGUUAGGGCUAUAAUGAUCCACAACACAGGUAUGUUAGGGCUAUAAUGAUCCACAACACAGGUAUGUUAGGGCUAUAAUGAUCCAUAACACAGGUAUGUUAGGACUAUAAUGAUCCACAACACAGGUAUGUUAGGGCUAUAAUGAUCCACAACACAGGUAUGUUAGGGCUAUAAUGAUCCACAACACAGGUAUGUUAGGGCUAUAAUGAUCCAUAACACAGGUAUGUUAGGGCUAUAAUGAUCCACAACACAGGUAUGUUAGGGCUAUAAUGAUCCACAACACAGGUAUGUUAGGGCUAUAAUGAUCCACAACACAGGUAUGUUAGGGCUAUAAUGAUCCACAACACAGGUAUGUUAGGGCUAUAAUGAUUCACAACACAGGUAUGUUAGGGCUAUAAUGAUCCACAACACAGGUAUGUUA